rnacentral:tRNA from 1 species
UUAUAAAAUAUAAUUUAAUUUUACAAUGAAAAUGUAAAGUUUUUUUUAAACUAUAUAAAUAUAUUUAAGAAAU